rnacentral:rRNA from 1 species
GACGAACGCUGGCGGCAUGCUUAACACAUGCAAGUCGAACGCUGAAGCCCUUUCGGGGGUGGAUGAGUGGCGAACGGGUGAGUAACACGUGGGUAAUCUGCCCUGUACUUCGGGAUAAGCCUUGGAAACGGGGUCUAAUACCGGAUAGGACCUGUCCUCGCAUGGGGGUGGGUGGAAAGUCCCGGUGGCAUGGGAGGAGCCCGCGGCCUAUCAGCUUGUUGGUGGGGUAGUGGCCUACCAAGGCGACGACGGGUAGCCGGCCUGAGAGGGUGACCGGUCACACUGGGACGGAGACACGGACCAGACUCCUACGGGAGGCAGCAGUGGGGAAUCUUGCGCAAUGGGCGAAAGCCUGACGCAGCAACGCCGCGUGGGGGAUGACGGCCUUCGGGUUGUAAACCUCUUUCGACAUCGACGAAGGGGCCCUGUUGUGGGGUUUUGACGGUAGGUGUAGAAGAAGCACCGGCUAACUACGUGCCAGCCGCCGCGGUAA